rnacentral:lncRNA from 1 species
CAUCCAAGCUAGUAGUGAUAAUUGGACCCAAUCCAAUGAUUGAGAAGUUGAGAUGUGACAACAAUCUACUAUUGCAGGUAGUUAAAGUGUUCAACAAAGGUCCCUAUAAAACUAAAGAAAAUAAUUUUCAGUCAAUCUGUAACCAACAUUACACACAGUUUAAAUGACACAUCAUUCUGAGUUCAACAACAAUGUAUAGAUCUUAACACC